UGGACAGGAGGAGGUGUCAAAACAGUAAAAGCACACUUACAGGCUCCAUUCUGGGUCGGAUACCUGCCCUAGCACUCCAGGGCCUGCAGUGUAACAUCCUGGGUUCGAAGUCACGGAUGUGCUCCGUUGGCUGAGAGAUAUGGAUAGGAAAGCAGAUUGUACACUGGACAGAGGCUUCUUCAGCACGGAACCUCAGGGACUCGGACA